UAGGGAAUCUUCGGCAAUGGACGAAAGUCUGACCGAGCAACGCCGCGUGAGUGAAGAAGGUUUUCGGAUCGUAAAACUCUGUUGUUAGAGAAGAACAAGGACGUUAGUAACUGAACGUCCCCUGACGGUAUCUAACCAGAAAGCCACGGCUAACUACGUGCCAGCAGCCGCGGUAAUACGUAGGUGGCAAGCGUUGUCCGGAUUUAUUGGGCGUAAAGCGAGCGCAGGCGGUUUCUUAAGUCUGAUGUGAAAGCCCCCGGCUCAACCGGGGAGGGUCAUUGAAAGCAGGGGGACUUGAGUGCAGAAGAGGAGAGUGGAAUUCCGUGUGUAGCGGUGAAAUGCGUAGAUAUAUGGAGGAACACCAGUGGAGAAGGCGGCUCUCUGGUCUGUAACUGAAGCUGAGGCUCGAAAGAGUGGGGAGCAAACAGG
rnacentral:rRNA from 1 species